GUGGCUUCAGACCCUUCCCAGUUCUGAUACCUCCAGAAGGGGUGCCCUUCAGGGGCCCUGUGCUUCCAAGCUUAGAGGCUCAUGCUACAAGCCCCUCCCCAACUCUUUCCACCCUUUAGGAAGGGCCUGGCAUCUCUGCAAUAACUGGUCAGGACUCAGAAAGAGAAAUUGGCAGGAUUUUAAUCAUUUAUUCAUUCCUUCAGCGAGCGGCACUUCCUGAGCAGCCACUGUAUGCUAGGAGCUGGCAGGAGGCCCUUGAACACUCUGGACUCAGUCUAGUGCUAGAUUGAUGAUCAGGCCAUGACGAUGCCAGGUGUGCAUGCUGUGGAGCCUGGAACAAGUGCCAAGCCUGGUGGGCCUUCUGGAGGAGGUGCCUGCUACACCCAGCCUGGCAGGAGGCAGACGAUCAGGUGUUAUUAAAAAAAAAUUUUUAGGCUGGGUGUGGUGGUUCAUGCCUGUAAUCCCAGCACUUCGGGAGGCUGAGUGGGGCAGAUCACUUGAGGUCAGGAGAUCGAGAGCACCCUGGUCAACAUGGUGAAACCGUCUCUACUAAAAAUACAAAAAUUAGCUGGGCAUGGUGGCAGGCGCCUGUGGUCUCAGCUACUCGGGAGGCUGAGGCAGGAGAAUCGCUUGAACCUGGGAGGCAGAGGUUGCAGUGAGAAGAGAUCGCACCACGGCACUCCAGCCUCGGCGACAGACCGAGACCCCGUCUCUGAGAUGGCUCACUGCAGUCUUGAACUCCUGGGCUCAGGGGAUUCUCCCUCCUGACUCAGCCUCCUGAGUAGCUGGGGCCAC
rnacentral:lncRNA from 1 species